rnacentral:tRNA from 1 species
GGAGUAGCGAAACAUCAAUAUGUCGACUACACUCGUAGAAGCUUAAGUGGCGAUGUUUCUGGACGAGGGUUCGACUCCCUCCGUCUCCACCA